GAUUUUCACUGAUUCGGUUUUCGGGGUGGAUUCGGGUUUUAGGUUUGGGUUUCGGUUUUGGGUGCCCGGGCACUCCACCUGAUCCGAAUCUGCCCCGUUGCCAUCCUUACCCUCCAAGAUGCUACAGUAAGCGCAUGUGGAUGCACGAUAGAGCCCCCUCACACCAGCGUGCCUCUACAGUAUUCACGUGGUGCAAGGCCUUAUCUUCAAGGUACUGACGAACAGCCUCCCGUGUAGCUCUCCUUGCGAAACAGUACUCCCAUACACAUGCUCUGGUGACAAAAG
rnacentral:lncRNA from 1 species